rnacentral:rRNA from 1 species
ACAUGUGGAGCGCUUAGAAGUGAGAAUGCCGGUGUGAGUAGCGAAAGACGGGUGAGAAUCCCGUCCACCGAUUGACUAAGGUUUCCAGAGGAAGGCUCGUCCGCUCUGGGUUAGUCGGGUCCUAAGCUGAGGCCGACAGGCGUAGGCGAUGGAUAACAGGUUGAUAUUCCUGUACCACCUAUAAUCGUUUUAAUCGAUGGGGGGACGCAGUAGGAUAGGCGAAGCGUGCGAUUGGAUUGCACGUCUAAGCAGUAAGGCUGAGUAUUAGGCAAAUCCGGUACUCGUUAAGGCUGAGCUGUGAUGGGGAGAAGACAUUGUGUCUUCGAGUCGUUGAUUUCACACUGCCGAGAAAAGCCUCUAGAUAGAAAAUAGGUGCCCGUACCGCAAACCGACACAGGUAGUCAAGAUGAGAAUUCUAAGGUGAGCGAGCGAACUCUCGUUAAGGAACUCGGCAAAAUGACCCCGUAACUUCGGGAGAAGGGGUGCUCUUUAGGGUUAACGCCCAGAAGAGCCGCAGUGAAUAGGCCCAAGCGACUGUUUAUCAAAAACACAGGUCUCUGCUAAACCGUAAGGUGAUGUAUAGGGGCUGACGCCUGCCCGGUGCUGGAAGGUUAAGAGGAGUGGUUAGCUUCUGCGAAGCUACGAAUCGAAGCCCCAGUAAACGGCGGCCGUAACUAUAACGGUCCUAAGGUAGCGAAAUUCCUUGUCGGGUAAGUUCCGACCCGCACGAAAGGCGUAACGAUUUGGGCACUGUCUCAACGAGAGACUCGGUGAAAUCAUAGUACCUGUGAAGAUGCAGGUUACCCGCGACAGGACGGAAAGACCCCGUGGAGCUUUACUGUAGCCUGAUAUUGAAAUUCGGCACAGCUUGUACAGGAUAGGUAGGAGCCUUUGAAACGUGAGCGCUAGCUUACGUGGAGGCGCUGGUGGGAUACUACCCUAGCUGUGUUGGCUUUCUAACCCGCACCACUUAUCGUGGUGGGAGACAGUGUCAGGCGGGCAGUUUGACUGGGGCGGUCGCCUCCUAAAAGGUAACGGAGGCGCUCAAAGGUUCCCUCAGAAUGGUUGGAAAUCAUUCAUAGAGUGUAAAGGCAUAAGGGAGCUUGACUGCGAGACCUACAAGUCGAGCAGGGUCGAAAGACGGACUUAGUGAUCCGGUGGUUCCGCAUGGAAGGGCCAUCGCUCAACGGAUAAAAGCUACCCCGGGGAUAACAGGCUUAUCUCCCCCAAGAGUUCACAUCGACGGGGAGGUUUGGCACCUCGAUGUCGGCUCAUCGCAUCCUGGGGCUGUAGUCGGUCCCAAGGGUUGGGCUGUUCGCCCAUUAAAGCGGUACGCGAGCUGGGUUCAGAACGUCGUGAGACAGUUCGGUCCCUAUCCGUCGUGGGCGUAGGAAAUUUGAGAGGAGCUGUCCUUAGUACGAGAGGACCGGGAUGGACAUACCUCUGGUGUACCAGUUGUCGUGCCAACGGCAUAGCUGGGUAGCUAUGUGUGGACGGGAUAAGUGCUGAAAGCAUCUAAGCAUGAAGCCCCCCUCAAGAUGAGAUUUCCCAACUUCGGUUAUAAGAUCCCUCAAAGAUGAUGAGGUUAAUAGGUUCGAGGUGGAAGCAUGGUGACAUGUGGAGCUGACGAAUACUAAUCGAUCGAAGACUUAAUCAAAA